CCCUCCCCCGCCGCGGGCGGGGCUCGCAGGCGGCCCGCACCUUGCGGUCCUCGCCUGAGCCUGGUGCGGAUGCCGAGGGCCGGCCGCGUCCGCCUGGAGCCGAGCGCGGCUCAAUGCCAGCAGUGCAAGGCUAAGGCCGGAGGAUCGCCGCAGCAGCCUGGGCUACAGACCAGCUUUCCUGGGCCCAGUGAAUUCUCCCCGGGGUCGACAUGACUGCUGUAGACCUGGACCCUAGAGGUGGGCAUGAUGGGAGCUGGUGCCCGCAACGUGGUCAGACAGUAAGGCACCAACAGAAGUUGAACGAGGAGGGAGCAGUGGUGCACCUUCUGAGGAGGAGCUCGGGGCAGCCCCACACGGAAACUCGACACAGAGGAGAGAAACACGGCUUGUUUAUUAGAACUGAAGGAGGGGCUGCUCUCGCACAGAGAGAGUGCUGCUUCUCGGUGUGUAUCAAGAGCAAGAAAACAACUGAAAAGUGUAUUCCUGAGAAGAAGCAGAAGAGUUACCAGCUUGCAAACAUACAUGAUAGGUGAUUUCAACAAAAAAAUAAAACCUUUUUUAAAAACAAAAAACCAAGUUUCAAGUAUUAUUCCAGAUGAUGUGGCAAACCUAAUGUAGGAGGGGCAGGAUCUGGGAGCAGACCCUUCACCCACUCGGGCUCU